rnacentral:rRNA from 1 species
UACGGAGGGUGCAAGCAUUGAUCGGAAUUACUGGGCGUAAAGGGCGCGUAGGCGGCUAGAUAAGUCAGGUGUGAAAUUCCGUGGCUCAACCACGGAACUGCAUUUGAAACUAUAGAGCUAGAGGUUAGUUAGGGAAAACGGAAUUCCACGUGUAGCGGUGAAAUGCGUAGAUAAGUGGAGGAACACCGGUGGUGAAGACGGUUUUCUGGGCUAAUACAGACGCUGAGGCGCGAAAGCAUGGGGAGCAAACAGG